UACGUAGGGCGCAAGCGUUGUCCGGAAUUAUUGGGCGUAAAGAGCUCGUAGGCGGCUUGUCACGUCGGGUGUGAAAGCCCGGGGCUUAACCCCGGGUCUGCAUUCGACACGGGCAGGCUAGAGUGUGGUAGGGGAGAUCGGAAUUCCUGGUGUAGCGGUGAAAUGCGCAGAUAUCAGGAGGAACACCGGUGGCGAAGGCGGAUCUCUGGGCCGAUACUGACGCUGAGGAGCGAAAGCGUGGGGAGCGAACAGG
rnacentral:rRNA from 1 species